GUGCCUUCUUGUUUAACCAUUUUGAAUAUUAUCUCCUUUCCUUCGUUAGAGACCGCGAAGUCCCACCAUCCUUUAAGUUGGCCACCAAACCCUGCUAUUAGGGCUUUGGCUGUACUAGGGUCAUCAUUACCCUUAGCUCUGCUUGCAGUAGCAUACAUAGUCAUAUAUUGAAGGACAUUCUUGAUUUGAUAAUCGGAUAGUCCAUCAAUAUUCCAUUCGACGAUUGAAGUACCAUCAUAUU
rnacentral:lncRNA from 1 species